CAGUAGCGUAUAUUAAAGUUGUUGCAGUUAAAAUGCUCGUAGUUGAAGUUCGGAUGCAGCAGAGCUUGGAAACGCUGUUAUGGUGCUUCCGUUGCUUUUGCUUGUCCACAGUGCGUUGCAAGUACGUAUGUGCUUGUGCGUGCAUUUUACUUUGCGAAACAUAGGGUGUUCCACGCAUGUUACGGCAUGAAUAUUCCAGCAUGGGAUAAUCUGGUACGACUUCCAAUCUGCCAUUUUGGUUCGUAUGUUGGAAGUAAUGAUUAAUAGGGACUGUCGGGGGCAUUGGUAUUUGACUGUCAGAGGUGAAAUUCUUAGAUUCGUUGAGGACCAACCACUGCGAAAGCAUUUGUCAAGGAUGUCUCCAUUAA
rnacentral:rRNA from 1 species